UUCGGGUUGUAAAGCACUUUCAGUCGUGAGGAAGGUAGUGUAGUUAAUAGCUGCAUUAUUUGACGUUUAGCGACAGAAGAAGCACCGGCUAACUCCGUGCCAGCAGCCGCGGUAAUACGGAGGGUGCGAGCGUUAAUCGGAAUUACUGGGCGUAAAGCGCAUGCAGGUGGUUUGUUAAGUUCAGAUGUGAAAGACCCGGGGCGUCAACCUCGGAAUAGCAUUUGAAACUAGGCAGACUAGAGUACUGUAGAGGGGGGUAGGAAUUUCAGGUGUAGCGGUGAAAUAGCGUAGAGAUCUGAAGGAAUACCGGUGGCGAAGGCGGCCCCCUCGGACAGAUACUGACACUCAGAUGCGAAAGCGUGGGGAGCAAACAGGAUUAGAUACCCUGGUAG
rnacentral:rRNA from 1 species